GAAUGGCAUCACGAAGGUUAUACUGUCUCCUUUUUCUAAUCAGUGAAACUAAUCUCCCCGUGAAGAAGCGGGGAUAAAUUUAUAAGACGAGAAGACCCUAUGGAGCUUUAAACUAAAACAAUUAUCUUAUUACUAACCUAAUCCUCAUGGUAAAAACAAACCUUUGAUAAUGUGACUUACAGUUUUCGGUUGGGGUGACCACGGAGUAAAACACAUCCUCCGCGAUGAAUAGGAUUAUUCCUAAGUAAAAAAUUACAAUUUUAUACAUCAACAAAUUGACACCAUUGACCCAAUAUUUUUGAUCAACGAACCAAGUUACCCUAGGGAUAACAGCGCAAUCCAUCUUAAGAGCUCAUAUCGACAGAUGG
rnacentral:rRNA from 1 species